rnacentral:rRNA from 1 species
GUGGGGAAUAUUGCGCAAUGGGCGAAAGCCUGACGCAGCAACGCCGCGUGGGUGAAGAAGGUCUUCGGAUCGUAAAGCCCUGUCAAGUGGGAAGAAACCUGCCUUCGAGGCAGCUGACGGUACCACUGAAGGAAGCACCGGCUAACUCCGUGCCAGCAGCCGCGGUAAUACGGAGGGUGCAAGCGUUGUUCGGAAUCACUGGGCGUAAAGGGCGCGUAGGCGGCCGGUCGGGUCUGAUGUGAAAGCCCGGGGCUCAACCCCGGAAGUGCAUUGGAAACUGGCUGGCUUGAGUUCGGGAGAGGAGGGCAGAAUUCCCGGUGUAGGGGUGAAAUCCGUAGAGAUCGGGAGGAAAACCAGUGGCGAAGGCGGCCCUCUGGAACGAAACUGACGCUGAGGCGCGAAAGCGUGGGGAGCAAACAGGAUUAGAUACCCCUGUAGUCC